rnacentral:lncRNA from 1 species
CUAAGCGCGGAAAACAGAGUCUUUCUCACACAUUCAGAUUUGUCAUAGACGACCUCCAGUACCUGCAGAGAUCCAAAAUCGUUGUCAAAAACGACUUGAAGCUAACAUAAACAUUUUAGUUCGUUUUUAUCUUUUAAUAAUGUUAAAUAAUAAUUUAAGUAAUAAAAUUUUUGCUUACAA